UUAAUCUAGCCGGGAAAACACAUCAUAUAUAGUUGUUAGAUCUUUAAAUUAUGAAAAACACAAUGCAAACAAUUUCCAUUUCUUUAUUUGUGUUAAUUUCUUUAAUGUUAGUUUUUCAUCAUCAAAUAUUCUUAAUCGCAAAUGCAAUUGUGGGUAAC